rnacentral:rRNA from 1 species
AUCUACAGCCAUACCACCCUAAACGCACCCGAUCCCAUCUGAUAUCGGAAGCUAAGGAAAGUUGGGCCUGGUUGGUACUUGGAUGGGAAAUAAGUGGAUAAAUUUUGGUGAGCAGUUAGUC